rnacentral:rRNA from 1 species
CACGUAGGGGGCGAGCGUUGUCCGGAAUCAUUGGGCGUAAAGAGCUCGUAGGCGGUCUGUCACGUCGGAUGUGAAAGCCCGGGGCUUAACCCCGGGUCUGCAUUCGAUACGGGCAGACUAGAGUGUGGUAGGGGAGAUCGGAAUUCCUGGUGUAGCGGUGAAAUGCGCAGAUAUCAGGAGGAACACCGGUGGCGAAGGCGGAUCUCUGGGCCAUUACUGACGCUGAGGAGCGAAAGCGUGGGGAGCGAACAGG